rnacentral:rRNA from 1 species
UACGAAGGGUGCGAGCGUUGUCCGGAAUUAUUGGGCGUAAAGAGCUCGUAGGCGGUGUGUCACGUCGGCCGUGAAAACCUGCAGCUUAACUGUGGGCGUGCGGUCGAUACGGGCAUCACUGGAGUUCGGCAGGGGAGACUGGAAUUCCUGGUGUAGCGGUGAAAUGCGCAGAUAUCAGGAGGAACACCGGUGGCGAAGGCGGGGUCUCUGGGCCGAUACUGACGUGGAGGAGCGAAAGCGUGGGGGAGCAAAACAGG